rnacentral:sRNA from 2 species
CCCAGCGGCCAGUCUAGAUAAGAUAGAAUAGAUGUAUAGAAUGAUUGAAAACAAGACAGAGAAGGUUGAAUGAAGGGGUAUGAGUGAAUAAAUAGAAUGAGAUAGUUGCAAACAUAAUGUGGUUAGUGAUGAGAUGGUGUUGUUGUGAUAGAAAUUCUUGUGUGUGUGAAGUGAGAGUGUCUUACUGUUUUGAGUUAGACAAUAUAUGAUCACAAUAAGAACUUGAUGAACAUAUGCUAUGAAUGUUUCAGAGAUAGUGUGCUGUGAAGACAGGCAUGGAUGGCAGAACACAGUCACAAGAAUAUAGAUGGA